GAUGAACGCUAGCGGCAGGCCUAACACAUGCAAGUCGAGGGAUAAGCCUUCGGGCUAAGCCCGGCGCACGGGUGCGUAACGCGUAUACAAUCUGCCUUUUAUCCGGGGGAUAGCCCGAAGAAAUUUGGAUUAAUACCCUAUGGUAUAAGAGCACGGCAUCGUGCACUUAUUAAAGCUACGGCGGUAAAAGAUGAGUAUGCGUUCUAUUAGCUAGUUGGAGAGGUAACGGCUCCCCAAGGCGACGAUAGAUAGGGGUUCUGAGAGGGAUGUCCCCCACACUGGUACUGAGAUACGGACCAGACUCCUACGGGAGGCAGCAGUGAGGAAUAUUGGACAAUGGUCGGAAGACUGAUCCAGCCAUGCCGCGUGCAGGAUGACGGCCCUAUGGGUUGUAAACUGCUUUUGUAAGGGAAGAAUAAGGAGUACGUGUACUUUGAUGACGGUACCUUACGAAUAAGCAUCGGCUAACUCCGUG
rnacentral:rRNA from 1 species